rnacentral:rRNA from 1 species
UACAGAGGUGGCAAGCGUUGUUCGGAAUUACUGGGCGUAAAGGGCGCGCAGGCGGUCGUUCAAGUCGCGUGUGAAAGCCCCCGGCUCAACUGGGGAGGGUCACGCGAUACUGAUCGACUCGAAGGCAGGAGAGGGAAGUGGAAUUCCCGGUGUAGUGGUGAAAUGCGUAGAUAUCGGGAGGGACACCAGUGGCGAAGGCGACUUCCUGGCCUGUUCUUGACGCUGAGGCGCGAAAGCUAGGGGAGCAAACGGG